UACGUAGGGGGCAAGCGUUGUCCGGAUUCAUUGGGCGUAAAGAGCGUGUAGGCGGCCAGGUAGGUCGGUUGUGAAAACUGGAGGCUCAACCUUCAGAGGUCGACCGAAACCAUCUGGCUAGAGUCCGGGAGAGGAGAGUGGAAUUCCUGGUGUAGCGGUGAAAUGCGCAGAUAUCAGGAAGAACACCCGUGGCUAAGGCGGCUCUCUGGUACGGUACUGACGCUGAGACGCGGAAGCGUGGGGAGCGAACAGG
rnacentral:rRNA from 1 species